UUGAAGGGUUGCCCCAUAAUGCGUGUCGGGUGCACGUACCGUAUGCACGCUUCGGGGGGACGACGGUGGAAUGAGCGGCGGACGGGUGAGUAACACGUAAAGAACCUGCCCAUAGGUCUGGGAUAACCACGAGAAAUCGGGGCUAAUACCGGAUGUGUCAUCGGACCGCAUGGUCCGCUGAUGAAAGGCGCUCCGGCGUCGCCCAUGGAUGGCUUUGCGGUGCAUUAGCUAGUUGGUGGGGUAACGGCCCACCAAGGCGACGAUGCAUAGCCGACCUGAGAGGGUGAUCGGCCACACUGGGACUGAGACACGGCCCAGACUCCUACGGGAGGCAGCAGUAGGGAAUCUUCCACAAUGGACGAAAGUCUGAUGGAGCAACGCCGCGUGAACGAUGAAGGCUUUCGGGUCGUAAAGUUCUGUUGUAAGGGAAGAACAAGUGCCGCAGCAAUGGCGGCACCUUGACGGUACCUUGCGAGAAAGCCACGGCUAACUACGUGCCAGCAGCCGCGGUAUACGUAGUGGCAAGCGUUGUCCCGGAAUUAUUGGGCGUAAGCGCGCGCAGGCGGCCUCUUAGUCUGAUGUGAAGCCCCCCGGCUCACCGGGGAGGCCAUUGGUAACUGGAGGCCUUGAGUUAUAGACAGAAGAUGCAUUUCCACGUGUUAGCGUGAAUGCUUAAAGAUGUGAGACCCCGGUGGGCGACGCGACUCUUUGCCUUAUACUGAACCUUGAGGCCACGAAGGCGUGGCGUGGAUCCGACCGGAUUGCAUACCCCGUGUUAGUCCACGUCGUUAACGAUUGAGUCUAG
rnacentral:rRNA from 1 species